UGGGGGAGGCCGGAUCCUAGGCUGUGUCCCGGCGCCCUGUGCUCCGGAACCUGUGCUGGUGGAUUCGCGCUCCCGGGCCGCGCAGCCCCCU
rfam:Canis lupus familiaris chromosome 21, whole genome shotgun sequence.